GUAGGUGGCAAGCGUUGUCCGGAAUUAUUGGGCGUAAAGCGCGCGCAGGUGGUCUUUAAGUCUGAUGUGAAAGACCCCCGGGCUCAACCCGGGGAGGGUCAUUGGAAACUGGGGAACUUGAGUGCAGGAGAGGAAAGUGGAAUUCCACGUGUAGCGGUGAAAUGCGUAGAUAUGUGGAGGAACACCAGUGGCGAAGGCGACUUUCUGGCCUGUAACUGACACUGAGGCGCGAAAGCGUGGGGAGCAAACAGGAUUAGAUACCCUGGUAGUCCACGCCGUAAACGAUGAGUGCUAAGUGUUGGGGGGUUUCCGCCCCUCAGUGCUGCAGCUAACGCAUUAAGCACUCCGCCUGGGGAGUACGGUCGCAAAGACUG
rnacentral:rRNA from 1 species